rnacentral:lncRNA from 1 species
CUGAAUCACCGACCCAAGAUAUCUGACACUGUCCCUCUUGGCGAUGACCUGAGAUCCAAUCAUCACGUCCCUGCCUACUUCGCUCGGCUCGGCACUGAACUUGCACUCCAGGUAUUCUGUCUUAGAUCUGCUUAUUUUGAAACCCUUAGACUCGAGAGUUUGUCUCCGUACCUCUAACCUCUCAAUAACACCGACCCUCGUCUCGUC